GUGCGCACACCGGAAGUGGCCGUCCCGGACGCGAGCGUAGCCGCCGAGGGCUCCCCGCGGGACGUCUCCUGGGCAGCCGGCGCUGCCCUCCGGAGGCCGAGGAAGCCUAGAUGGAGAACCAUCACUUGAGAAUCUUUUAACUCCAAGCAUGUGCUGUAUACCAAGGGCAUCCUUAUAACCUGUGAGCUUGUUGGAAAUGCAGAAUUUCAGGCCCCUGCAUCAGAAUCUGCAUUUUAACAAGGUUCCAACCAGUGAUUCACAUGCCCGCUAAAGGUGAAGACUACAAUGAAAAGAGAUGAAACAAUCGAGACCCCCGCUCCUGUGUGGUCUUUCUAGUGUCUCUUCAUCUGCUUUCCUUCCCAGGGAUGGACCAGGCACAGAGAAGUUCCAUCAUUACCAUGGUGACACAGUAAGCGUCACUGUCUAGUUAUCAGCAACGAUAAGAUGUCUCGGAUGCAGGAGAGGGGCUGACAGCGUGUUAGCUGUGCGCAUACAUCCCGUGCGCACCCUCCGGAGCGUGCCCGGACGAGGACGAGGACGAGGUAUGGCCCAGCGAACGGCCGGCGGGCGUCCCACAGCUCUGCUGCCAGAGACGACGCACCUGCAGGUACAGGCGAAAUUCUCCCUUGGAGGACAUCUUCCAUUUGGGAGUUUUAUCCCUUGCGUUGUGGGAAGGGAAGGAGGGGAAGCCAGAGCCUUCUUGCACCUGCCGUUUCUCAAGAGCCUUUAGCUCAAAAUCAUCCUUAUAUCGAAGCGGCAUAUUCUGGGGUGACCCAUUUUGCCAUCCUCUGCACCCAUGAAAUAAAAUCUAUGAGAUGCCAAAAAGCCCCAGUGAUACUGAAAUACAGGUCCGGCCUCCCCCGUUAGGAGCAUCCCCCACCAGGUGGUCACCAGGGGACUCCGCUGGCGAGCUGGAAGCCUUUUGUUAGAAACGCAGAACUGACUCGGACGCAUCCUCACCGCCCAGAGCUCACCCUUGGCAACGAACACCCAAUAGACUCGGGCAAGUGUACACUGACAGGUGCGACCAUUAGGAUAUCGUGCAGAAGAGCCUCACGUCCCCCCAGAUCUUGCUCCACUCAUUCAUCUCUCCCGCCAACCACCGGUCUUCUCACUGUCUCCGGUUUUGCCUUCUCCAGAGGUCACACGGUUGGAAUCCUGUGCUCCGUGUCCUCUUCAGAUUGGUUCCUUUCACUCAGUGGUAGCAGUUAAGGUCCCUCCUUGUCUUCUCAGGGCUUGGUGGCUCAUUUCUUUCGAGCCAUCCUAUAUCUUUGUGAUGAUUUUUUUUCUUGUUUAAGUAGAUGUUGGCUGCUUCCAAGGUGAAAUACCCUGUUGAAGACAAAGAGAUAUUUAAAAAAAAAAAAGAUUUUAUUUAUUUAUUUGAGAGAGUGAGAAAGCGAGCAUGAUUG